ACGACCUUACUUGAACAGAUCUGUUCUAUAGGCUCGUACUUCUGUAUUCUUGAUUCCUAAGAAAAAAGGAUACAUAUAGUUAU
rnacentral:snoRNA from 11 species